rnacentral:lncRNA from 1 species
AGCAGGAGGGCACACUCCGGGGCUGGGUGUGAACAGAAGCCUAGUGGCUUCCUGUUCUGAGAAAGGAAUGAAUUUGUUGGGGGGGGAGAGGAGGGGAACCACCUUGAGCCCUUCCUACACCCGAGUUCCCAUUCACUGCUCAGGAUGGUGUCCCUUGUCUCCCUCACCCCCCUAACCUGGGCAUGUCCUCUCACAGGUCAGAAGUCCCGCAAGAAGCACGCUCACCUGAAGGCAGACCCUGAAGCUCCAACCCCUAUGGUCACAACACGUGCCUCAAAACGGCGUUCUGGGGGUGCAGAGGAGCCCCCAAAGCCAGCCGUGAAGGAGGAGGAAGAGAAGGCAGCUCCUGAUGGGCCAAGGAAGGGACGUGCCCGUGGGAAGAAGAAGGUGGCUGCUGCUCCAACCUUAUCAGAGCCAGAUGCUCCGGUCAGAGCAAAAAGAAACCGGACAUCAGCACGCAGGGGCAGAGGUGCAGCUCCUGCAGUGUGAGUACUGCACACUGCCUUCCGCACACCUCAGCCUUUGGAAACGUGUGACACUGCCUCUGCUGUGGAGUCACGCUGGCCUGGGCUGCCUGGUGUUGCUUUCAGGCAUGCCUGCUUGUAGCACUUGCUCUUUGCAACACGACUGCUCUUGCAGCCUCAGGGAUGGGGGCAGGCUGGCGCUCCUCCCCCUUUCUGUUCUUAAAUACUUUUUUACAACCUUGCUUGUCCCUUCUGAGUGGUUUUAGAAUCAGUUCCUCAAAGGGACCACUGAUUGUGCAUCACGUCAGAUUCUGAUCCCUCCCUAUACCCUCUUUCUUUUUUUAAUCGCUGCCUGGAUCACCGAGAAAGCUGGUUUUAGAUGGUUAAUAAAAGUAUUUUGUGUAAAAAUUGCUGUGCCUGCCUUCUU